AGGACGAGCAACAUUAACAGAGAGAGAGAGAGAAAGAGAGAGAGAGAGCUACUUCCUGUCACCUGCUUCAGUCUGUUUGGCAGAGCAGGAUGCUGAUGGUUUCCUGUCACCGUGGGAACGGGUGAGAAAAAACCAGCAGCAUCACUAGGUUGGUUCCAACAUGGCGGCGGCGAUAAAAACUUUUGUUACCCUGGUAGUCUUCAUCGUUCUGCUCAGCGUCCAUGGCGUUGUCGUCCUCGUCUUCGUCGUCAAAGUUGUAGUUGGGGUCGUAGGUCAAGUAGCGGAGGCAGAUGGAGAUGAUGGUUGGAACGUGAGG